rnacentral:lncRNA from 1 species
UUGUUUCACUUCUAGCUUUUUAACCUUGUUAUACAUAGUUUCGGACCGGUGUGUGACUGACAUGCAGGACCCACUUGUCGGCGCCGGGUUCAUAUGCUGCUCUAGUUUGGUUUAUUGUGUUCUUCUUUUUUUAUUUUGAUUCAUUGCGGAAACGUUAAACGUGUUUAGAUUUUGCAUUUGUUGUCCAAAUCCGUUGAUUCUUUUUUUCAAUUUGUCGGAUAACUUUUCC